rnacentral:rRNA from 1 species
GGGGGGGGGGGGGGGGGGCGGAGCGGGUGGGAGGCGGAGGGGAGGAGAGUGAGAGGGUGCGCUUGCGGGGGGCGAGUGGCGGACGGGUGAGGAAUACAUCGGAAUCUACUUUUUCGUGGGGGAUAACGUAGGGAAACUUACGCUAAUACCGCAUACGACCUACGGGUGAAAGCAGGGGAUCUUCGGACCUUGCGCGAUUGAAUGAGCCGAUGUCGGAUUAGCUAGUUGGCGGGGUACAGGCCCACCAAGGCGACGAUCCGUAGCUGGUCUGAGAGGAGGAGCACCCCCACUUGAACUAGGACCCGGUCCAAACUCCUACGGGAGGCAGCCGUGGGGAAUAUUGGAAAAGGGGCGCAAUCCUGACCCAGCCAUACCGCGUGGGUGAAGAAGGCCUUCGGUUUGUAAAGCCCUUUUUUUGGGAAAGAAAAGCAGCAGGUUAAUCCCCCGCUGUUCGGGCGGUACCCAAAAAAUAAGCACCGCCUAACUUCGU